rnacentral:rRNA from 1 species
GACGGAGGAUGCAAGUGUUAUCCGGAAUCACUGGGCGUAAAGCGUCUGUAGGUGGUUUAAUAAGUCAACUGUUAAAUCUUGAGGCUCAACCUCAAAAUCGCAGUCGGAAACUAUUAGGCUAGAGUAUAGUAGGGGUAAAGGGAAUUUCCAGUGGAGCGGUGAAAUGCGCAGAGUAUACAGGAGGAACACCGGUGGCGAAGGCGGGUCUCUGGGCCGAUACUGACGCUGAGGAGCGAAAGCGUGGGGAGCGAACAGG